rnacentral:rRNA from 1 species
GAUGAACGCUGACAGAAUGCUUAACACAUGCAAGUCGAUGGGGAAGUGGUGCUUGCACCAUGGCAACCAUGGCGGACGGGUGAGUAACGCGUAAGGGACUUACCUGCAGGACUGGGAUAACAGGGGGAAACUCCUGACAAGACCGGAUAAUGUCAUGGAGCUGCAUGGCUUUAUGAUGAAAGGAGACGCCUGCGGAGAGCCUUGCGUCCUAUUAGCUAGUUGGUGAGGUAAUGGCUCACCAAGGCGAAGAUAGGUAGCCGGCCUGAGAGGGUGGACGGCCACAAGGGGACUGAGAUACGGCCCUUACUCCUACGGGAGGCAGCAGUGGGGAAUAUUGGACAAUGGGGGCAACCCUGAUCCAGCAAUUCUGUGUGCACGAAGAAGGUUUUCGGAUUGUAAAGUGCUUUCAGCAGGGAAGAAGUAAGUGACGGUACCUGCAGAAGAAGCGACGGCUAACUACGUG